CCGGAAGUACCCAUUGCGCCUGCGCACCAAGCGUAGUUCUCUUCUCAGCUUCAUAAAGCUGUUCGUCCACCGCCAGAAGGACACAGUUCAGCCAAAAUGAUCGGUAAAAUCGUCGGACAGAAGUAUGUGGCCAUCGCGAAGGCGUGGAUCCCUACUAUGACUAUUUGGGGCGCAACCGCAGGUGUAGCCCUGAUCCACUUCACAGACUGGCGACUGGUUUUGGAUUACGUCCCCUA